rnacentral:rRNA from 1 species
GUACACAAAAAUGCACAUAUUGUGAGCUCGAUGAGUAGGGCGGGACACGUGGUAUCCUGUCUGAAUAUGGGGGGACCAUCCUCCAAGGCUAAAUACUCCUGACUGACCGAUAGUGAACCAGUACCGUGAGGGAAAGGCGAAAAGAACCCCGGCGAGGGGAGUGAAAAAGAACCUGAAACCGUGUACGUACAAGCAGUGGGAGCCUCUUUAUGGGGUGACUGCGUACCUUUUGUAUAAUGGGUCAGCGACUUAUAUUCUGUAGCAAGGUUAACCGAAUAGGGGAGCCGAAGGGAAACCGAGUCUUAACUGGGCGUUAAGUUGCAGGGUAUAGACCCGAAACCCGGUGAUCUAGCCAUGGGCAGGUUGAAGGUUGGGUAACACUAACUGGAGGACCGAACCGACUAAUGUUGAAAAAUUAGCGGAUGACUUGUGGCUGGGGGUGAAAGGCCAAUCAAACCGGGAGAUAGCUGGUUCUCCCCGAAAGCUAUUUAGGUAGCGCCUCGUGAAUUCAUCUCCGGGGGUAGAGCACUGUUUCGGCAAGGGGGUCAUCCCGACUUACCAACCCGAUGCAAACUGCGAAUACCGGAGAAUGUUAUCACGGGAGACACACGGCGGGUGCUAACGUCCGUCGUGAAGAGGGAAACAACCCAGACCGCCAGCUAAGGUCCCAAAGUCAUGGUUAAGUGGGAAACGAUGUGGGAAGGCCCAGACAGCCAGGAUGUUGGCUUAGAAGCAGCCAUCAUUUAAAGAAAGCGUAAUAGCUCACUGGUCGAGUCGGCCUGCGCGGAAGAUGUAACGGGGCUA